ensembl:misc_RNA Vault Vault RNA
GGGCUGGCUUCAGCUCAGCGGUUACUUCGCGUGUCAUCAAACCACCUGCGGAUUGUUCGAGACCUGCGGGCGCUCUUACUGCUGAAGU